ensembl:snRNA U6 U6 spliceosomal RNA
GUGCUUGCUUCAGCAGCACCUAUGCUAAAAUUGGAAUGAUACAGAGCAGAUUAGCAUGGCCCCUGAGCAAGG